AGCGUAGCUUCGUCAAGCACCGACACAGCCGCAUUCCGAAGCUGCGCGCCGCGUACCAGCUGAAGUGCGUCGUUGACCAGAUCAACACCGGUCCCGGUUCCAAAAGGUCGCAGUUUUGAAAGGUCAAAAUAUCCUGAUCAAGGUCGUUCAAGAACAACAACGAUGCGCAGUUUGCCACUAAACGAGCGCAAUGGAGCAAAUUUCUGCCCGGAAUCCGUUGACUGGUUUCGCAAUUUCAAUAUGUUGAGUACUAUCCUCAGUCAUCGCUAGUCUUGCUGGAAACGGCCAACUUCCCGCAACAAGAUCGCUCACACUUGAAUCCACCAGUUUGCCGAGAUUGUGGUCGAGACUUAUCUGCUGGCGCAUAAAUACGUACGGAAGGCUCCAGCCGUCUCAGCGGACCUGCUUGUGGCGCUUGUUCGAACGCAGAACAACUACACCAACUACUGGGCCCCGUCGUACUACAAAGUCACCAUGCCCCCACACCAAAAUCUCGUGUGAAGCGUAACUCGCCUCGUGUACGAUCCUGACCCUUUUGCUGCGCCCGAAACGGCACGUACUGUCUGGUGUCCAAGACGGCAAAGCUGAUGCUCGGAACUCAUCUCCGUGCCUUAUGGUAGCUGUUCGGCUAGCGGACGAGUUGUUCAGAUUCAGAUUGACGACACUGUUUGCGCAGCGUCGCGAAGGAAGAUAAACAGUUUGAGGUGACCAUCUUCUAGCGAACUACGCUAAGGGCGUACCCGUUGAGGGAAACGCGCGUGCCAUGUCCAAACUGCAGAUCGAGGGUGAAACGGCGUUCCUGGAUCUGGGGUUUCCCGAGGUAACGCAGUCAAGUGCUGCUGUGGUUUUAUGUCCCAGAAGUCGGAUGAGCAAGCCCCACACCUGUGCUGGGACGCAUUUCCCAUAGCGCCCGGCCACAACCCGGUUGACAACUUUUGUCAAAAACAUCCGGAAGUUGCAUUAUGUAAGUUUGUGAAACUGCGAUUGGAAUUUCCACCUAUUUAUUUCGAUUAGAAAGAAUUUAGACUUCAAACAAAAUUAUUGCUUUUUGCAAGCAGUAACAUAACCUAACUUUUCGGAACCCUCAGCAAACGUCAAAUCAAUACAAAUUGCUGCCGGAUCUUUUACCGGAUCUCUCCCGGAAAAGAUCCGGCAGCAAUUUUGUAUGGUGUGACGUUUACGGAGGGUGCCGAAAAAAGGUAAACAAAUCACUCCGUGCGUCAGCCAAUGUAAAGUAGCCAAAAAACUAAAAAUAAAA